GACAGAGGGUGCAAACGUUGUUCGGAAUUACUGGGCGUAAAGCGCGUGUAGGCGGCUAUGCGAGUCGGGUGUGAAAUCCCACGGCUCAACCGUGGAAGUGCACUCGAAACUACGUAGCUGGAGUUCUGGAGAGGAAGGUGGAAUGCUCGGUGUAGAGGUGAAAUUCGUAGAUAUCGAGUGGAACACCGGUGGCGAAGGCGGCCUUCUGGACAGAAACUGACGCUGAGACGCGAAAGCGUGGGGAGCAAACAGG
rnacentral:rRNA from 1 species